rnacentral:rRNA from 1 species
AACGAACGCUGGCGGCAUGCCUAACACAUGCAAGUCGAACGGCAGCACGGGAGCUUGCUCCUGGUGGCGAGUGGCGGACGGGUGAGUAAUGCAUAGGAAUCUGCCCCAGUAGCGGGGGACAACUUGGGGAAACUCAAGCUAAUACCGCAUGCGCCCUACGGGGGAAAGCGGGGGACCUUCGGGCCUCGCACUAUUGGAUGAGCCUAUGUCAGAUUAGCUUGUUGGUGGGGUAACGGCCUACCAAGGCGACGAUCUGUAGCUGGUCUGAGAGGACGAUCAGCCACACUGGGACUGAGACACGGCCCAGACUCCUACGGGAGGCAGCAGUGGGGAAUAUUGCACAAUGGGCGAAAGCCUGAUGCAGCAAUGCCGCGUGUGUGAAGAAGGCCUGCGGGGUUGUAAAGCACUUUCAGUAGGGAGGAAACAGUAGCCGGUUAAUAUCCGGUUGCCUUGACGUUACCUACAGAAGAAGCACCGGCUAACU